UACGGAGGGUGCGAGCGUUGUCCGGAAUCAUUGGGCGUAAAGCGCGUGUAGGCGGCUUGGUAAGUCGGGUGUGAAAGCCCUCAGCUCAACUGAGGAAGUGCGCCCGAAACUGCUUUGCUUGAGUACUGGAGAGGGUCGCGGAAUUCCCGAAGUAGAGGUGAAAUUCGUAGAUAUCGGGAGGAACACCGGUGGCGAAGGCGGCGACCUGGACAGUAACUGACGCUGAGACGCGAAAGCGUGGGUAGCAAACAGG
rnacentral:rRNA from 1 species